rnacentral:lncRNA from 1 species
CACCGACUCUCUUUUCGGACUCAGUCCGCCUGCACCCGGGUGAAAUAAACAGCCAUGUUGCUCACACAAAGCCUGUUUGGUGGUCUCUUCACACGGACGUGCAUGAAAUUUGGUGCCGUGACUCGGAUCGGGGGACCUCCCUUGGGAGAUCAAUCCCCUGUCCUCCUGUUCUUUGCUCCACGAGAAAGAUCCACCUACGACCUCAGGUCCUCAGACUGACCAGCCCAAGGAACAUCUCACCAAUUUUAAAUCAGAAGGCAGGAAUGUCAGGCCUCUGAGCCCAAGCCAAGCCAUGGCAUCCCCUGUGAUUUGCACAUGUACGCCCAGAUGGCCUGAAGUAACUGAAGAAUCACAAAAGAAGUGAAUAUGCCCUGCCCCACCUUAACUGAUGACAUUCCACCACAAAAGAAGUGUAAAUGGCCAGUCCUUGCCUUAAGUGAUGACAUUACCUUGUGAAAGUCCUUUUCCUGGCUCAUCCUGGCUCAAAAAGCACCCCCACUGAGCACCUUGCGACCCCCACUGCUGCCUGCCAGAGAACAACCCCCCUUUGACUGUAAUUUUCCUUUACCUACCCAAAUCCUAUAAAACGGCCCCACCCCUAUCUCCCUUCACUGACUCUCUUUUCGGACUCAGUCCGCCUGCACCCGGGUGAAAUAAACAGCCAUGUUGCUCACACAAA